AGCAGCUACUUACUGUCAAGAUGUGUCAUAAACACAUCAACUUUACUGUCGAAACAAAUAAAAAUAUAAACUUUGACACACACAGAAGGCAGAAGGCAGAAGGCACUCAAAGGCAACAGCAGCUAACGAAAAUCAAAGCGAAUUGGAAGAGGAGAGACGGCUUUCUGGUUUUAUUCUCUAGUCUCAGGGGAAACAAAAAUUUGAGUGCCUGGUGGAAACCGAAAUCAAUUCUGGUAGCUGACGGAAUGCGACAAUUACGGAAGACGAGUCGUUAAAAAUUAGACUAGAAAACCAACAAAAUAAAACAACAAAAAAGAAGGGAAAGUCAAAUGAGUCGCUAGUAAAACUUGUUGUGGAGUCAUUAAGGCGAAACCCUAUAAGACACUGUCCGUGAAUUCCCUUAAGUACCUGAUGUCGAAAGGCCGUAAAAUUAUCUCACUAUAAAAUUUAAAUGACUUAAAUGGUGUCCCAUUUCCACACACACCCUGUCAAUAAAUAACAGCUCCACACAAUAAAACCUUAAAACUUUUUAUGUAUUCGAGAUUA